rnacentral:rRNA from 1 species
CAGUCGCCGCGGGAAUACGAAGGGGGCUAGCGUUGUUCGGAUUUACUGAGCGUAAAGCGCACGUAGGCGGAUUCUUAAGUCAGAGGUGAAAUCCCAAGGCUCAACCUUGGAACCGCCUUUGAUACUGGGGAUCUUGAGUUCGGGAGAGGUGAGUGGAACUGCGAGUGUAGAGGUGAAAUUCGUAGAUAUUCGCAAGAACACCAGUGGCGAAGGCGGCUCACUGGCCCGAUACUGACGCUGAGGUGCGAAAGCGUGGGGAGCAAACAGGAUUAGAUACCCCGGUAGUCCCUGUCUCUUAUAC